UCCACGGCCUCCGUGGUUUUAGCGGUCGACGAAGGACCCAACCCACGUAGACCGGGUCCUUCGAAGGAUGCAGCCCCUGAAUUGGGACACAUCCACUGUGAGCGCUCCUGUUGUCACUUCCGGGUCAGCCUCAGAGUUGCAAGUUCUGAGUUGGUCAGUUGAGGUACAACGUUGGAUCCAAACGAAAUGUCAUUUUCAUAACUGUCAGCAAUCAUCAGAAAGACUCCCAUGAGGUCUGUGGGAAAGACCAUCUGCAUCUAAAUUUUGUUUUCCUGCUCCAUACAGGAAAUGGAAGGAAAAGGUAGACAAAGAAGCAAGCCAUCUGUAGCUGGUUGCAUGCAGUUUAGUUGAGGUCAACAGAUAAAGCACAGCUCCAAGACCAGUAGCAGUGGCAUCUAUGUGCAAGAUGUAAGGUUUCUCAGGAUCUGCAUAGAGAUAAAGAUAUGAAGAAGUGAAAGAGCAUAGCGCAACUGCAAUCCUGCCAAGACACGGUCGACCUCCUAAACUGACAGGAAACAGGAAGCAUUAAUCAGAGAAGCUGCCAAGGGUCCCACAGAAAAUCUGGAGGAGCUGCAGCUUCACCGUAUGCAGCUCAGAUACCUGCAGUCUUCAUCCCAGUUUUUAUUGAAUGUUCCAAGGACUAUGUACACUGGGGUGACGGGGAGUUCUCAGUAGCGGCUGUGGAACCAGCUCCCUCUGGACCUACGCUCUAUCCCUGACCUAGGCCUUUUUACAUCCAAGGCUUCUAAUAUCCAGUAGUUUGGUGGCACUUUAUUAUAACAUUCAUAUUGAUUUAAUGUUAUUCCUGUUGGUUGUUUGAUGUUUUCCUUUUAUUAAAUGUUUUUCCUUUUAUGUAUGUAGUGUAAAGCACUUUGGUUGCCUAGUCAGCUGUUUUAAAGGGCUAUACAAAUAAAUGAAAUGAAAUGAUUGACUACCCAAAAAGUGAUGCGUUUCAAGUGUUAAUUUAUGCUUUUAUACUGUUUGUUUAGCUACUGAUGUUUAUUGCUUACAGCAAACAAAAAUACAAAAAUGUGUUUUCAAGAAAAUACUGUCUAGUCAGUAAUCAGUCAUGCCACCCUUUGUUAUUGGUGUCAUAAUGUAGAAACAAGA